rnacentral:rRNA from 1 species
GAUGAACGCUGGCGGCGUGCCUAAUACAUGCAAGUCGAGCGAACAGAUGAGGAGCUUGCUCCUCUGACGUUAGCGGCGGACGGGUGAGUAACACGUGGAUAACCUACCUAUAAGACUGGGAUAACUUCGGGAAACCGGAGCUAAUACCGGAUAAUAUAUUGAACCGCAUGGUUCAAUAGUGAAAGACGGUUUUGCUGUCAAUUAUAGAUGGAUCCGCGCCGCAUUAGCUAGUUGGUAAGGUAACGGCUUACCAAGGCAACGAUGCGUAGCCGACCUGAGAGGGUGAUCGGCCACACUGGAACUGAGACACGGUCCAGACUCCUACGGGAGGCAGCAGUAGGGAAUCUUCCGCAAUGGGCGAAAGCCUGACGGAGCAACGCCGCGUGAGUGAUGAAGGUCUUCGGAUCGUAAAACUCUGUUAUUAGGGAAGAACAAAUGUGUAAGUAACUAUGCACGUCUUGACGGUACCUAAUCAGAAAGCCACGGCUAACUACGUG